AUGGCAGGCCCCUCAGCUCCUGGGCUCAUGCUGUCCUCUCCCCCAGACUGUCCUCUCCCCCAGACUGUCCUCUCCCCCAGACUGUCCUCUCUCCCUGGACUAUCCUCUCCACCCAGACUGUCCUCUCCACCUGGACUGUCCUCUCCACCUGGACUGUCCUCUUUACCUGGACUGUCCUCUCCCCCGGACUGUCCUUUCCCCCCGGACUGUCCUUUCCCCCUGGACUAUCCUCUCCACCCAGACUGUCCUCUCCACCUGGACUGUCCUCUCCACCUGGACUGUCCUCUCCCCCGGACUGUCCUUUCCCCCCGGACUGUCCUUUCCCCCUGGACUAUCCUCUCCACCUGGACUGUCCUCUCCCCCGGACUGUCCUCUCCACCUGGACUGUCCUCUCCACCUGGACUGUCCUCUCCCCCGGACUGUCCUUUCCCCCCGGACUGUCCUUUCCCCCUGGACUAUCCUCUCCACCCAGACUGUCCUCUCCACCUGGACUGUCCUCUCCACCUGGACUAUCCUCUCCACCCAGACUGUCCUCUCCACCUGGACUGUCCUCUCCCCCGGACUGUCCUUUCCCCCCGGACUGUCCUUUCCCCCUGGACUAUCCUCUCCACCCAGACUGUCCUCUCCACCUGGACUGUCCUCUCCACCUGGACUGUCCUCUCCCCCGGACUGUCCUUUCCCCCCGGACUGUCCUUUCCCCCUGGACUAUCCUCUCCACCCAGACUGUCCUCUCCACCUGGACUGUCCUCUCCACCUGGACUAUCCUCUCCACCCAGACUGUCCUCUCCACCUGGACUGUCCUCUCCACCUGGACUGUCCUCUCCACCUGGACUGUCCUCUCCCCCGGACUGUCCUUUCCCCCUGGACUGUCCUUUCCCCCUGGACUAUCCUCUCCACCCAGACUGUCCUCUCCACCUGGACUAUCCUCUCCACCUGGACUGUCCUCUCCACCUGGACUGUCCUCUCCACCUGGACUGUCCUUUCCCCCUGGACUAUCCUCUCCACCUGGACUGUCCUCUCCACCUGGACUGUCCUCUCCACCUGGACUGUCCUCUCCACCUGGACUGUCCUCUCCACCUGGACUGUCCUCUCCCCCGGACUGUCCUUUCCCCCUGGACUAUCCUCUCCACCCAGACUAUCCUCUCCACCCAGACUGUCCUCUCCACCUGGACUGUCCUCUCCACCUGGACUGUCCUCUCCACCUGGACUGUCCUCUCCACCUGGACUGUCCUCUCCACCUGGACUGUCCUCUCCCCCGGACUGUCCUUUCCCCCCGGACUGUCCUUUCCCCCUGGACUAUCCUCUCCACCCGGACUGUCCUCUCCACCUGGACUGUCCUCUCCACCUGGACUAUCCUCUCCACCUGGACUGUCCUCUCCACCUGGACUGUCCUCUCCACCUGGACUGUCCUCUCCCCCGGACUGUCCUUUCCCCCCGGACUGUCCUUUCCCCCUGGACUAUCCUCUCCACCCAGACUGUCCUCUCCACCUGGACUAUCCUCUCCACCUGGACUGUCCUCUCCACCUGGACUGUCCUCUCCACCUGGACUGUCCUCUCUACCUGGACUGUCCUCUCUACCUGGACUGUCCUCUCCACCUGGACUGUCCUCUCCCCCUGGACUGUCCUCUCCACCCAGACUGUCCUCUCCACCCAGACUGUCCUCUCCACCUGGACUGUCCUUUCCCCCCGGACUGUCCUCUCCACCUGGACUGUCCUCUCCCCCGGACUGUCCUUUCCCCCUGGACUAUCCUCUCCACCCGGACUGUCCUCUCCACCUGGACUGUCCUUUCCCCCUGGACUGUCCUUUCCCCCUGGACUGUCCUCUCCACCCAGACUGUCCUCUCCACCUGGACUGUCCUCUCCACCUGGACUGUCCUCUCCACCUGGACUGUCCUUUCCCCCUGGACUGUCCUUUCCCCCUGGACUGUCCUCUCCACCCAGACUGUCCUCUCCACCUCUCCCCCGGACUGUCCUUUCCCCCUGGACUAUCCUCUCCACCCGGACUGUCCUCUCCACCUGGACUGUCCUUUCCCCCUGGACUGUCCUUUCCCCCUGGACUGUCCUCUCCACCCAGACUGCCCUCUCCACCUGGACUGUCCUCUCCACCUGGACUGUCCUUUCCCCCUGGACUGUCCUUUCCCCCUGGACUGUCCUUUCCCCCUGGACUGUCCUCUCCACCCAGACUGUCCUCUCCACCCAGACUGUCCUCUCCACCUGGACUGUCCUCUCCCCCUGGACUGUCCUCUCCACCCAGACUGUCCUCUCCACCUGGACUGUCCUCUCCACCUGGACUGUCCUCUCCCCCGGACUGUCCUUUCCCGCUGGACUGUCCUCUCCCCCGGACUGUCCUUUCCCCCUGGACUGUCCUCUCCACCUGGACUGUCCUCUCCACCUGGACUAUCCUCUCCACCUGGACUGUCCUCUCCACCUGGACUGUCCUCUCCACCUGGACUGUCCUCUCCACCUGGACUAUCCUCUCCACCUGGACUGUCCUCUCCCCCUGGACUGUCCUCUCCCCCGGACUGUCCUCUCCCCCCGGACUGUCCUCUCUCCCCGACUAUCCUCUCCCCCCGGACUGUCCUCUCUCCCUGGACUGUCCUCUCCCCCCGGACUGUCCUCUCACCUGGACUGUCAUCUCCCCCGGACUGUCCUGCCAGCUAG
ensembl:lncRNA